rnacentral:rRNA from 1 species
GACGAACGCUGGCGGCGUGCUUAACACAUGCAAGUCGAACGAAGAGCGAUGGAAGCUUGCUUCUAUCAUUCUUAGUGGCGAACGGGUGAGUAACGCGUAAUCAACCUGCCCUUCAGAGGGGGACAACAGUUGGAAACGACUGCUAAUACCGCAUACGAUCUAAUCUCGGCAUCGAGGAUAGAUGAACGGUGGCCUCUACAUUUAAGCUAUCACUGAAGGAUGGGAUUGCGUCUGAUUAGCUAGGUGGCUGGGUAACGGCCCAACAAAGCGAUGAUCAGUAGCCGGGCUGAGAGGAUGAACGGCCACAUUGGGACUGAGACACGGCACAGAAUCCUAAGGGAGGCAGCAGUGGGGAAUCUUCCGAAAUGGACGAAAGUCUGACGGAGCAACGCCGCGUGAGCGAUGACGGCCUUCGGGUUGGAAAGCUCUGUUAAUCGGGACGAAAGGCCUUCUUGCGAAUAGUGAGAAGGAUUGACGGUACCGGAAUAGAAAGCCACGGCUAACUACGUG